rnacentral:rRNA from 1 species
GACGAACGCUGGCGGCGUGCUUAACACAUGCAAGUCGAACGGAAAGGCCCUGCUUUUGUUGGGUGCUCGAGUGGCGAACGGGUGAGUAACACGUGAGUAACCUGCCCUUGACUUUGGGAUAACUUCAGGAAACUGGGGCUAAUACCGGAUAGGAGCUCCUGCUGCAUGGUGGGGGUUGGAAAGGUUCGGCGGUUGGGGAUGGACUCGCGGCUUAUCAGCUUGUUGGUGGGGUAGUGGCUUACCAAGGCUUUGACGGGUAGCCGGCCUGAGAGGGUGACCGGCCACAUUGGGACUGAGAUGCGGCCCAGACUCCUACGGGAGGCAGCAGUGGGGAAUAGUGCACGAUGGGGGGAAGGCUGAUGCAGCAACGCCGCGUGCGGGAUGACGGCCUUCGGGUUGUAAACCGCUUUCGCCUGUUACGAAGCGUGAGUGACGGUAAUGGGUAAAGAAGCACCGGCUAACUACGUG